rfam:Myotis brandtii contig283553, whole genome shotgun sequence.
GGCGUUUCUCAGGUGAUGCACCCUGAAAUCGGGCUCCCUCCUCUCUGGUUCUGGGUGUGUUACCCGAGAACCGCA